rnacentral:rRNA from 1 species
UACGUAGGGAGCAAGCGUUGUCCGGAAUCAUUGGGCGUAAAGCGCGCGUAGGUGGCCUCGUAAGUCCGCUGUGAAAGUCAAAGGCUCAACCUUUGAAAGCCGGUGGAUACUGUGAGGCUAGAGUACGGAAGAGGCGAGUGGAAUUCCUGGUGUAGCGGUGGAAUGCGCAGAUAUCAGGAGGAACACCAAUAGCGAAGGCAGCUCGCUGGGACGUUACUGACACUGAGGCGCGAAAGCGUGGGGAGCGAACAGG